rnacentral:rRNA from 1 species
UACGUAGGCAGCAAACGUUGUUCGGAAUUACUGGGCGUAAAGGGUGUGUAGGCGGUUUUGUUAGUUUGGUGUGAAAUCUCCCGGCUUAACUGGGAGGGUGCGCCGAAUACUGCAAAGCUUGAGUACUGGAGAGGAUAGCGGAAUUCCUGGUGUAGCGGUGAAAUGCGUAGAGAUCAUGAGGAAGACCAGUGGCGAAGGCGGGUCUCUGGACAGUUCCUGACGCUGAGGCGCGAAAGCUAGGGGAGCAAACAGG